UGCCCACUUCUCUCCAUUUCUAUGGACAUCAUUCUGUUCUAAGCUGCUGUCAUCUAUUGAUUGGAAUACUGCAAAAAUCUAAGAUCUGGUCUCCCUGACUCCAGUUUUGCCCUUUCUCUAAGUCCAUUUUCUACACAAGAGUGAGACUCACUGUGUAACAAGGACUUCAAGGGGAUAAACUGAAGCUACUGCAGCCUCGGUGUCCAUCGAAAGAUGAAUGGAUAAAGAAGAUGUGGUUUAUGUAUACAAU